GCAACCGUGGUGCAGUGGUUUAGCAUUCCAGCCUCCCAUACAGGGAACCAGCUGGGGACCUGGGUUCGAACCCCGGCGGUUGCA
rnacentral:tRNA from 1 species